GACGAACGCUGGCGGCGUGCUUAACACAUGCAAGUCGAACGGAAAGGCCCUGCUUUUGUUGCGUUCUCGAGUGCCGAACGGGGGAGUAAAACGUGAGUAUACUGCCCUUGACUGUCGGAUAACUUCAGGAAACUGGGGCUAUUAUCGGAUAGGAGCUACUGCAGCGCGGUGGGGGUUGGAAAGAUUCGGCGGUUGGGGAUGGAUUGGCGGGUUAUCAGCUAGAUGGUGGGGUAGUGGCGUACGAGGGCUAUGAAGGCUAGGCGGCCUGGGAGGGUGACCGGGCACAAUGGGACUAAGAUACGGCGCAGACGGGUACGGUAGGCAGCGGUGGGGAGUAUGGCACAAUGGGCGGGAGCCUGAUGCAGCAAUGCCGCGUGCGGGAUGACGGGCUUCGGGUUGUAAACAGCUGUCGACUGUGACGAAGCGUGAGUGACGGUAAUGGGUAAAGAAGCACCGGCUAACUACGUG
rnacentral:rRNA from 1 species